rnacentral:rRNA from 1 species
GACAGAGGGUGCAAACGUUGUUCGGAAUUACUGGGCGUAAAGCGUGUGUAGGCGGCUUUGCAAGUCGGAUGUGAAAGCCCUGGGCUCAACCCAGGAAGUGCACUCGAUACUGCAGAGCUUGAGUAUCGGAGAGGUUGGUGGAAUUCUCGGUGUAGAGGUGAAAUUCGUAGAUAUCAGGAGGAACACCGGUGGCGAAGGCGGGUCUCUGGG